UACGAAGGGGGCUAGCGUUGCUCGGAAUUACUGGGCGUAAAGGGCGCGUAGGCGGAUAGUUUAGUCAGAGGUAAAAGCCCAGGGCUCAACCUUGGAACUGCCUUUGAUACUGGCUAUCUUGAGUUCGGGAGAGGUGAGUGGAAUUCCCAGUGUAGAGGUGAAAUUCGUAGAUAUUGGGAAGAACACCGGUGGCGAAGGCGGCUCACUGGCUCGUAACUGACGCUCAUGCACGACAGCGUGGGGAUCAAACAGG
rnacentral:rRNA from 1 species